rnacentral:rRNA from 1 species
CCUACGGGGGGCAGCAGUAGGGAAUCUUGGACAAUGGGCGAAAGCCUGAUCCAGCCAUGCCGCGUGUGUGAUGAAGGCCUUAGGGUUGUAAAGCACUUUCGCCAGGGAAGCGGUACCUGGAUAAGAAGCCCCGGCUAACUUCGUGCCAGCAGCCGCGGUAAUACGAAGGGGGCUAGCGUUGUUCGGAAUUACUGGGCGUAAAGCGCACGUAGGCGGUUUUCCAAGUUGGAGGUGAAAUCCCUGGGCUUAACCCAGGAACUGCCCCCAAAACUGGAUGACUCGAGUCCGAGAGAGGUGAGUGGAAUUUCCAGUGUAGAGGUGAAAUUCGUAGAUAUUGGAAAGAACACCAGUGGCGAAGGCGGCUCACUGGCUCGGACUGACGCUGAGGUGCGACAGCGUGGGGAGCAAACAGGAUUAGAUACCCUUGUAGUC